rnacentral:tRNA from 1 species
GGCCUCAUGGUGUAGCGGUCGCACGCCUCGCAUAAAUUUCGAGCGCGAGGAGACGCAAGUUCGAUUCUUGCUGAGGCCC